GACGAACGCUGGCGGCGCGCUUAACACAUGCAAGUCGAACGGAAAGGCCCUGCUUUUGUGGGGUGCUCGAGUGGCGAACGGGUGAGUAACACGUGAGUAACCUGCCCUUGACUUUGGGAUAACUUCAGGAAACUGGGGCUAAUACCGGAUAGGAGCUCCUGCUGCAUGGUGGGGGUUGGAAAGUUUCGGCGGUUGGGGAUGGACUCGCGGCUUAUCAGCUUGUUGGUGGGGUAGUGGCUUACCAAGGCUUUGACGGGUAGCCGGCCUGAGAGGGUGACCGGCCACAUGGGGACUGAGAUACGGCCCAGAGUCCUACGGGAGGCAGCAGUGGGGAAUAUUGCACAAUGGGCGGAAGCCUGAUGCAGCAACGCCGCGUGCGGGAUGACGGCCUUCGGGUUGUAAACCGCUUUCGCCUGUGACGAAGCGUGAGUGACGGUAAUGGGUAAAGAAGCACCGGCUAACUACGUG
rnacentral:rRNA from 1 species